rnacentral:lncRNA from 1 species
UACAAAAUUAAUCACAGAACAAGAAUACCCUACAGAGGAUGCUAACAAAAAGUUAAAAGGUAUAACUGGACAUAAAACUAGAAUAAGCAACAGUGUCCACCCAGUCCGGGAGAAGACCCUUUAAUCUCUUUGCUGGAUCAACCAAUUUUUGGUCUAAAACCGCCAGAUUCACUCUUAAUGGUUCAGAACUGUUGGCCUGAUUAAUUAAAAAC